ACAUGACUACAACAUAGAGUUAGUGCACCGAAUCCCAUUAGAACUUCGCAGUUAAACGCGCUCGAGCUAGAGUAGUAUUGGGAUGGGUGACCGCCCAAGAAGUCCUAGUAUUUUACAUGCC
rnacentral:rRNA from 1 species